rnacentral:rRNA from 1 species
GUAACAAGGUCUCCGUUGGUGAACCAGCGGAGGGAUCAUUGCUGGAACGCGCCCUAGGCGCACCCAGAAACCCUUUGUGAACUUAUACCUUACUGUUGCCUCGGCGCAUGCUGGCCCCCUCGGGGCCCCCUGGAGACAGGGAGCAGGCACGCCGGCGGCCAAGUUAACUCUUGUUUUUACACUGAAACUCUGAGAAAAAACACAAAUGAAUCAAAACUUUCAACAACGGAUCUCUUGGUUCUGGCAUCGAUGAAGAACGCAGCGAAAUGCGAUAAGUAAUGUGAAUUGCAGAAUUCAGUGAAUCAUCGAAUCUUUGAACGCACAUUGCGCCCUCUGGUAUUCCGGAGGGCAUGCCUGUUCGAGCGUCAUUUCAACCCUCAAGCAUUGCUUGGUGUUGGGGCACUGCUUUUAACGAAGCAGGCCCUGAAAUCUAGUGGCGAGCUCGCCAGGACCCCGAGCGCAGUAGUUAAACCCUCGCUUUGGAAGGCCCUGGCGGUGCCCUGCCGUUAAACCCCCAACUUCUGAAAAUUUGACCUCGGAUCA